GGAGCCGAACGCGCAUUUAAAGCGAUAGCCAUGCUCGCUCUCUCCCCAGUGCUGGGCUGUUGGAGAGCUCGAGCUGCAAGCCACCGAGCGCGAGCUCGAGCGCGGCGCGCUGGCCGGGGAACCCAAGAGCGCACGGCGCCCCAAGAUGGCAGGCGCCGCGGGACCCCCCACCCUCGCCGGCUGCCCUUUCCCGGGCGCCCCUACCCUCCUCGCCCGCAGGAGACCCUGGGCUUCCCCGGAGGAGCUCACCCCAAGGGGCCAGGACUCCGGCGAGCCCGCCACCGUCCCCUCGAGUGCCGCCGCCACCACCGCAGCCGCGGGAGCAGCAUGGUCCAGCUGGGGAAGCUGCUCCGCGCCCUGACUUUGAUGAAGUUUCCCUGCUGCGUGCUGGAGGUGCUUCUGUGCGCGCUGGCGGCGGCGGCGCGCGGCCAGGAGAUGUACGCCCCGCACUCCAUUCGGAUCGAAGGGGACGUCACCCUCGGGGGGCUGUUCCCGGUGCACGCGAAGGGUCCCAGCGGAGUGCCCUGCGGCGACAUCAAGAGGGAGAACGGGAUCCACAGGCUGGAAGCGAUGCUCUACGCCCUGGACCAGAUCAACAGCGAUCCCAACCUGCUGCCCAACGUGAGGCUGGGAGCGCGGAUCCUGGACACUUGUUCCAGGGACACUUAUGCGCUCGAACAGUCGCUCACUUUCGUCCAGGCGCUCAUCCAGAAGGACACCUCCGAAGUGCGCUGCACCAACGGCGAGCCUCCGGUUUUCGUCAAGCCCGAGAAAGGAGUUGGAGUGAUUGGGGCUUCGGGGAGUUCGGUCUCCAUCAUGGUAGCCAACAUCCUGAGGCUUUUCCAGGUUGAUGGGCGCUACGGGAUAAGGAAAAGGAUGUGAAGCUCACUGAAGAGGCUUGCGUUGGGAGUGCUGGAGGCGUGUACAGGUGGGGAAAAUGUACCAGCGUGUAUGCCUACUGGGACCACGUUUUCCAGAACAGUUAAGCCCAGUGUCAACUAUGCUGUCCCACCUUCCUCCCUAGCCCUGUGGUCUUGGGCUAAUCACUAACCUGCUUAGAUACAAUUUUCUUCUCUAUGAAAUAGAAACAUUAUUAUGUGCUUUGAAGGACUGCAGGAAGAUGAGCUGUAAUGUUUAUCAAGUGCCUAGGUGAGCGGCGAAGCUGCCGAGCGCCCGCGUCGCUGCCGCGGCCGGAAGACAGACGCCCCCCAAAGCCCCUUGCCUGGCUCGGACCAACGGAGCCGGCAGCCCAGCACUCCGGAGAAUCUUGGUACCAGGACCACACAAUGAAGAACUUGGAGUCCCCAUGGCUAAUCCAGCAGAGAAAAAAGGAGGAACAGAGAUGCGAGAGAAAAUAAAGGGAACUCUUGGUGCAAUUCGGUGCUGCUGCAGGCCCAAGUCCAGUUGAUCACACUGUGAGGAAAACAAGUUAGAGAAUGGAAAAACAAUAUUUGGAUUUCAACGAAAUAAUAAAGAUGCAGGGACUAUCUUUGACUUUUGCAAGGUAAGAAGAGAGUUUACAUUUUGAUUAUUUGAUGGCAGGAAUCCCUUUUACAACAGGGCCAGUCUGCAUGAUGCAUUUAAAAAUCAACCUUUUCAAAUAUAGCCAUAACCCCCACAAGAUUUCUUGAUUUCUCUGGGGUCAGAUAAACUGUCACAUUUCACAGUGGUGCCCUGUACAUGAAAAUGAUAAACAUAACCUGGAAGCACGGCAGUGGCUAAAACUAUGGAGCUGGCAGCCAUUCGCUGAAAGGAUUUUUUGCUUUUAAUUCAUUGCAUAAAAUGCUAAUGUCCAAAUUCAGGCAGGUAGAUCUUACCAACCAUCAAGAGCUUCAACCCUGCUAACAGCUAAGUAUGCACUUUUAAACCCUACUUUGACUGCUCCAGAAACUUACUGGGUUUCGUUAAUGCCUCUGUUACUAUUUCCUUUGUGUCGUUUUCUUUUUCUUUAAAAACACAGCUGUGUGAUCUUGGGGAAGUUAUAUUAUUUCCUUGAGACUUGGUUGCCUUCUCUGAAUAUCUGGGUAUAAUUUUAGUAUUGCUCAAUAGAAUUUUUGGUGAUAAUGAAAAUAUUCUAUAUCUGUACCAUGCAAUGCAGUAUUCAAUAGCUACAUGGAGCUAAUAAACAUCUUUGAAAUAUGGCAAAUGCAACUGAGGAACUGAAUUUUUAAUCUUAUUUUUAAAUUUGUUUAAAUAUAAAUAAUGCCAUGUGGCUAGCAUCUGUUGACAGUACAGAUCUACAUAAUAUUUUAAGGACACUCUCCACUCAAAAACUCUACCAUUCAUUAACUCAACCUAAAUAUUUUUGCCCUCUGACAAACAAAAAAUAAUUUAUGCUUCCCUUGAAAUUUUCUGUCAAGACCUUUAUCAGUUUGGGGACAUUAUAUUCUUAAAAUUGACUUUGCUUUAUGAAACUUUAAUAAUGCUGGAGUUUCCUGCCCUUGGUAACACCUUUGUGUUGAUGGGAAAUAUUGUGGAUGAUCAAGGACCAUUUCAAGAGACCAUGGAGAGAAACCUCCUUCUGGAUUUAAUUUCAUUAUGAGGAUGUCAAAAUGCUACAUUACUUAAAAUAAAACCCGUACCGUUUUUAUGCUAAGUUAUAUUCUACAUGUAGAUGGAAAAAUGUUAAAAAGAUUUUUAAAGAACUGCGCAUCUGUUUUUGAAGCUGCUUUGCCUCUUCAAGGCUUGCUAGCACUUUAUCCAUCUCAGUACUAUUUCACUUAGUAAACAAAUGCAGUUGCCAUAAUUGCUGCUUAGGUGUCUGUGUUCCCUUCUAGGCUAUAUGUUUUUGAAAUUAGAUACAAUAUUUAUAUCACAGGCCCUAUGUAUAGCACAAUACCCAUUGCUAAUUCAGAUUGUGUUUUAAGAUAUGAGACAAAAUGUAAGACUUUUAUUUUAGUCAUAAACAUCUAGCAAACCAACCAGAAAAUAAAAGCUAGUUUUCAGUUGGUUGGCCGAGGACAAAAAAGUGAAGAAUACCUAAUGCAAAACCAUAUCUCUAAUAACUACUGUUGGAUUUAGAGCACACACAUGCUAAAAAAUAUCUUCUUAUCAAAGAUUUGAGGUUGGACCUGAAAAAAUUAUAUCAGAAGUGAAAAUAAUCAUGUGGUCUGACCAGUGUGGAUCACACAAAGUAAGUGUAUAUAUAAAGUAGAUAGACUACGAGGUCCUACUGUAUAGCACAGGCAACUAUAUUCAAUACCUUGUAAUAACCUAUAAUGGAAAAGGAUCUGAAGAAGAAAUACAUAUAUCGGAAUCACUUGGCUGUACACCUGAAACACAACAUUGUCAAUCAACUAUACUUCAAGUAAAACAAAACAAAACAAAAAACUAAGUGUAAAGGGAAGUAUACUUUUAUAAAUUCACCUCUGAUAUCCAAUGGACCAACUGAAAGACAACAGAAACUACAACUAUCUAGGAGACAGGACAUGGCCGGCAAACCAGGCCGUUACCCUCGGUAAUGGUCAUACCUGCCAAAAAAUAUACAGACUAGCCUGCAUUCAUGAAUACAUAGGAAUUCUUCAUUUAUCUGGCAUUGUUAGGCAUGAGGUAUUGUAUGUUAGGAGAAGUUUUUUUAAAAUGACAAAUUGAAGAGGAGUUAUUUUAACCUUCACUCGGUAAUGUUUUUCUAAAAUUAAUAAAUGUAUCUACUGGUGUAUCUAAUGUUUCCUUGAUAACUCGGGGUCAUCAGUUCAAUCAACGUUUGCAUGAAUAAUGCAAAUGGAAACAAGACAGGCAUGCUUACUGAAACUGAAAAUGACAUAGCAAUGGCUGGAAUAACUGAUGAGAGAGCAAGAAAAAAGCAAAACUGAAAACAAACCGUGAUCAGGAAACAAUCAGUCAAGUUCUGACUUUCUGUACUUAGUUUCAAAAAGAGAUAUCACAAAUCCCAGCGAGAGACUCCAGCAUCAUUAGCUGUCUUUCUGCUUUGUUUCCACCUUCCUUUCCUUUUCCUUCUACCCUAGAUUGUUCCAGGAAGUGUUUAUAGCUCCUUGCAAGACAAAUUCUAAUACUUGCUUUCUCUCACACAAACUUCACAAUAUGUCCAUGUGGUAAAUGGUGUGGAGGUAAAAGAGAAUUCAUCACAGGGACAGCUCCUACGAAAAUAAAAUUAGAAACUAGCUUCUAAACAUGCAGAGAGAAGGGCGUGGUGUCAGGCACUAAUUUCCUUGCGAAUUCCUCUCCAUUUCUAAUAGACGUUCUUCUUUACCAAGAUCCCUUUUUAUUGGUGUCCUGUUCCAGACUGCUCCACUCCGCCCAUCCUCAUCCUGUAAAAUACAUUCACACUCUUUUGUGACCCUACUUAUUUGCCCAUUAAAUAAUCAAUCAUAGAACUGUCGGAAUUAAAUGUAGAGUGAAAUUAAAAUACUGGAGUCACUUGGAGGGUUUAAGCAGCUCCACCAGAAAAUACUGGGCAUGGAUUUAAAAGAGGCUGCGUGGGACUUGCUCUUGUGCAAGUUCUUUCUCAAGAAGUAUCUGAAAUAAGCCUAAAUUCAGAGUUAAUCAGACUGGCCUGCUUUCUCAGGUGGACUGGAAUUCUGCUCUUUGCUCUCAACUCCCUGAUGUCAGUGGUACUUUCCGGAGAGGAGGUGGACUUCUCUGCCUACUGCAGAAGCACAGUUCCCCCAGGACCCACUCCCCGUCUGAAUCCCACACUGGAGGCCAGAUGCCAGCCUUCCCAGAACAUUCGUGGCCUCCUUUCAGUUUUUGACCUGCUCAGAUUGAGUCCCUCUAGACUCUUUCUGGAAACCUGAUCUUCAACCCCUUUCCCUGACCUCGAUGGUUACCUUCCUACUUUAGGCCUCAGGUGCUUUAGCUAUAAAAUGAUAUAGUUGCCCUUAAUUCUAAAGUCUUCUUUCUAAAGCGCUACAAUGUGGUGGCUCCUUGAAAAUGUUUCUCUUGCUGGUUUUAAUUUUGUAGAGAAUUAAAACCCCAGCCACUCUAAAGGACAGUAAGUUACAUUGGAUAAGGAAAGUGUGCUUUUGUAGUUAGAUUAACAGGGAUGGAAGACGACUUAGUAUGUUUUAAGAUACUCAUGAUCCGUUCUCGUGAGAGUCGGGGAAGAAGGGGAAGAGAGUUAAUAAAAUACCAAACAAUUGUGACAAAUUAAGUUCACCAAGAUGUAGGUGAUUAGUUACUACUUGAAUAAACCACACAAAUCCAAUCCAAGUUUUCCUUUAGUUUUCUAAGAAGGAUCCCAGUGAACUGAGUCGCAUGUUCAGUGACUCCACGUUCAAUGGCUUAGUCUUUAAAAACUGUUAUGUUGCUGGAAGCAGAAAUAUUGCCCAGCAGUCCUAAUUGAUGUUUAGCUAUCACGCACAUUUGAAAUAAAUUUAUUACUUUGCCUGAUCUCAGUGUAAUACAUUCUAAAGGGGCAAAGAGCACACGAAAAGUUAUGGAGUCUCCAUCUUCUACACUGAAGUGUGCAAUAAAUUACAUAUUAUUUGGCCGUGAAAUUCACAAGCCAUAGAAACCACACCAUUAGCAAUGUAUACAGUGGUAAACAGCAGGUAAUGAGAAUGAUAUAAAACCAAACAGACUGUGUAGGUUGGCACUGCUGCCAAUAAAGCAAUUAUUAAAUGCAUUCAUAUGCAUCUACGCUAGGUAAGCUCUUUAGGGCAAUUGAUAUGAGUUCUACAUACCUGUCAGGAUAUUAUAUAUAGCCCACUUUCUAUGGCGUUUAUUCAAAGACGCUGAGAAAGGGUUACUCUGGGUAAAUUCAGACCUUUUCUCAAUAUAGAAUUUGGUCAACAUGCAUUCUGAACAGCAAAAUUUCACAGUAUUUUCCUACACUAAUUGCCACCUCAGCAAAUGCAGGAUUAAGUAUAAUGGAUUAUAAGAAGUUAGAGAGGAAAGAUGGAAGAAAAGAAGGAAGGUAGAAAAAAGGUGGGUAUGGAGUACUUCAACAUUUACGUAGAGAGUGGACCUAAAACUAACCUGAGGUUUCCCUGAAUUAUUAGCAUAUGCUAUAGAAACUUAAAUGAAAAAAUAAAAAAAUCCAGCAAGGGAAACUCAAAGAUUCUUUGUUUCUUCACUUUACUGCAUAUACACGUCCACCUUAAACAAUCUAUAUGCUUAUAUCCAACAAGAGAGCAUUGUUUUGCAAGACUGUUUGGGUUCUAUCAGCAUGUAAAGGUCAGACAACUCAACUUUAGCAGAGUCAGCUUUCAGGUGAAUAAUUGUUUCUUUCAGGUUGCGAGCAUUUGAAUUCUCCAGAAAUGUUUCCCAAAAUAUGAAAAUUAAAAGAGUCCUAGGACAGCGUCCUUUAGAAGUUUUAUAGUAUCAAGGUUUUUGGAGGAGGAGUAUCCUUGUCCAUUAUCAACACAAUGAUUCCAAGCAGGUCAAUUUUUGCUGAGAAUAUUAUAUAACAGAACCCACUUCACCUCCAUUAUACUGACAAUGAUCUUCCUUACUUCAACCUUGUGCUUCUUAUAAAGUUGAAAAUACUGAGCCAAGAACAGACAGUGACAAUGCCAGAGACUCAGAUGUACCUAUAGGUGCCUUCAGACAACAUCAGCCACCCAGGCUAAAGUCCUGGUUUAAAA